UUCAGCCAUCAUAUGAAAAGUACGGAAACAGACUUGGUAUAUUAUCUCUUAAAUACUACAGCAUUAAAAACGCUAUGAUCAAAAGUUCUUUUGACAGGGUUUAAUGCUUAAUAAACCUCUUAAAUUUGUCAAGUUUAUUCAUUCACUGUGAUGAUGAGAUCUACAGAUGAUGCUACUGAUGGAGAUUCCUGUUCAUAUCACAUCCGCUGCCUCUCCAGAGAAAACCAUGAAUUACAUCACAUUUCAUCCUUAUCUAAAAUCUGCAUUGUACAAAACAUCUCUAACAAACUUUCAUACUUGGAAAUUAAAUAAAAUCCUUUAUGAAUGUUGAUGCACUACCUUUUUUCAAUGAAACACAGCCAGAAUAAUUUAAUUCUAGACAGGUCUAUAUUUGAGGGUAAAAUGUUAUUUUAAACAGUUGAAAUAAACACUGUGAGGACCUGCGAUCAUCUCUUGUCUCUUCUGUUGUAAUCGCACCAGCUGUCUGUUUUUCAUCCUGUCUUAAAACUACAUUUAAACCGCAAGUGUUGAAGCAUUGAGACAGGUGAGAAACUGCACGGAUCUGUUUCAUAUUAAAGACACAUCUAAGAGCAGAAAGCAUGAACACUGGACACAUGAUUAAAUAAAGAAUCGUUUGGCUAUUUACCGGUAGCGGAUUUGUACGUUCGUUCAGUUUUUUAUUUUUUAAUAUUGAAAUCAAACAAAUUUACAAACAAAUAGGCAUCAAAGUAACAUAUAUUAACAACAGGCAGACAUUGAACAUAACCAUACAGUAUGACAGCAGAAAAAAAUAAAUAAAAUAUAAAUAAAUAAAAUAAAAGAAAAAACAAAAACAAAGUAAUAGUAUGAAUAAAUGGACGAGAUUACACAAAGGCAAAAAAGAUCUACAGAGCACUCAAAUCAUUCAGUAUAUUCGCUAAUGUAGUGACUUUUUCAUUUAAGGAAAAGCGGAGGGAUGAAGCAAUAAUUUUAAGUUCGUUUAAAAAAUGAACUAAGGAUGGGAUUUUUUCAAAAAUCUACACUUGUGAAUAAAGAAUUUAGCAAUUAUAAAAAUGUUGUUGGCCAAAUAGUGUUGUGUACAUUAUUUAUUGAGUACACCAAAUCUAAUUUGCUAAUAACUAAUGCAUUCUAUCUACAGGAGUCUGCAGUUGCGUGUAAGUGUGUUUAUUUCAUUGUUUUCCUUUGUUGUAGAGUGGUAUUCAUUGCUAGACUUGUGCUGUUUGUUUACUGUCUUGAACUCGCGUCGCUUAAACGUAGGUACCAACCUUACCACUGCUGUGUGUGUCCUGUAUUGUUUUGACUUGUCCCAGGUUAUUCACUGCUAGAUUUAGCGUUGGUUGUCCAGUGUGUGUAAAACUAUAGUGGUUUUUAGUUUCUAUAAACAGUACUUCACUUGUUUUAGAGUAUUAUUUAUUGCUAAAGUGCAGCAUAAUUUAUUUGCGGUGUACGGAAGUCGCGCUUGUCACCUCACGUAACCCUUAGUUUCUGUUGACCACGUGACUAGCUUUGUUUGUUGAACGGCUCAUUAUCAUCCGUAUAUAUCUGACUUGAAUGCUGACGCGGAAGUGGUAGCCCUCCUGUGAAGACCUACUUGGGUAAAGACCAGUGAGUCUACCUGUGCGAGUUCACCGAGCAACGAUACUGACAAGGCGCCACUCACCAUAACACUUAAGUAUCUUGUUAUUGUGUCGCUUUUCUUAUUUUCCUUCUAUAUACUAACAUGUCUACUUCACAAAUAACACAUGCCUUCAAGCACAUCUCUGUUAUCUGUUACAGACUGUUUACAUGAUAUCGAUGCAAGACCAAACGCAACCCACACAACCUACGGCCACUUUGCACUUCAGCACCUGCUCCGUUCUCUUUCUCAGUGGGACUCUGGAACUGCCAGACAGCUGUGAACAAAGCUGACUUCAUUCCAGCCUUUGCCACGCAGUCCACCCUCAGCAUCCUGGCACUGACAGAAACAUGGAUACAUCCAGAGGAUAAAGCAACACCUGCUGCUCUCUCCAACAACUUCUCCUUCUCUCACACCCCUCCACACACCGGUAGGGGUGGGGGAACAGGUUUGCUUAUUCAUAAAAACUGGACUUUUUCACCACACUCUUCCCUAUGUAACAAUGCUAGUUUUUAAUUCUAUGCUAUUACUACAAUGCAACCCACAAAAAUACACGUUGUCAUCUAUCACCCUCCAGGUCAGCUGACAAACUUUCUUGAGGAGUUGGAUGUCCUGUUAUCCUCCUUGCCGGAGGAUGGUAGGCCACUUGUGGUUCUUGGUGAUUUCAACUUACACCAAGACAAGCCCCAGGCCACUGAACUGAAUGCUCUUCUGGCCUCAUUUGACUUGGCCAGCACAUGCUACACCACCCAGCCCCUGGCUGUCUGACGUCCUUGGUGAACAUCGGACUGACCUCAGGGCAGCUGAGAGGAGAUGGCGGAAAUCCAAAGAUCCAGCAGAUCUAGAACAAGCUGCUGGAUGACAAUCAGUCAGGCUUCAAAAGUGGACACUCCACCGAGACUGCCCUGCUGUCUGUCACUGAGUCGCUGAGACGGGCGAAAGCUGAAUCCAGAUCAUCCGUCCUGAUUCUGCUGGACCUUUCUGCAGCCUUUGACAGUCAACCAUCAGAUCUUACUCUCUACCCUCUCCUCGCUGGGCAUCACAGGAACUGUGCUUGACUUGUUUAAUUCCUAUCUCUCAGCCCAACGACACCACAGUGACUGCUCGAAUUUCUGCCUGCCUGGCAGACAUCUCGGCCUGGAUGAAGGAGCACCACCUGCAACUCAACCCAGCCAAGACUGAACUCCUUGUCUUUCCAGCCAACCCUGAUGUUGAACACAACAUCACCGCGCAGCUGGGUGCAACUACAGUAACGGCUUCCAAAUCGGUCAGAAAUCUAGGGGUAACCAUCGACAACAGACUAAAUUUCACAGACCACAUCUCAAAGACAGCAAAAUCAUGUAGAUUUACACUCUACAAUAUCAGGAAGAUAAGACCCUUCCUUUCUGAACAUGCCACACAACUGCUUGUCCAGUCACUUGUCAUAACUAGACUGGACUACUGUAAUGCUCUCAUUGCAGGCCUCCCUGCAUGUGCAAUUAGACCCCUUCAAAUGAUCCAGAAUGCAGCAGCCCGUCUGGUCUUUAAUGAACCAAAGAGAGCACGUUACACCACUCCUCGUCUCUCUCCACUGGCUGCCGGUUGAUGCACGUAUCAAAUUCAAGGCUCUGAUGCUGGCAUACAGAACAGUCACUGGGUCUGCUCCAGCAUACCUAAAAUCAUUUAUGCAGAGCUACGCGCCCACUAGAAGCCUGCGGUCGGCUAAGGAACGUGGCCUUGUACCUACACAUAGAGGCACCAACACUUUCCCUGACUUUCAGCUUCAUCGUACCACGUUGGUGGAACGACCUUCCCAACUCCAUCCGUGAAGCUGACUCACUCUCCGUCUUCAAAAAAUGACUAAAAACACAUCUUUUCCAUGAGCACUUAACCAGUCAUUAAGUAAAUAAAUAAAUAUUCCUGUUGCACUUUAUUCUGUUUUGAAUACUAUUAUGAUGCUAGUGAAACUUUGUAAUACAGCACUUUUCAUACCACUGUCUCCUUAAGAUGAUUCGCUUAUGAUUUCCUCUUUUGUAAGUCACUUUGGAUAAAAGCGUAUGCCAAAUGUAAAUGUGUUUACAUGACUAUUGCUGUGAGACAUUUUAUUAUACAACUGAGCCCAAAACAGCCUUGAAUAGUUACAACCAAAGAAAAUGUGCUCAGUGGAUUAAAUGUCAUUCUCACAGAAUUGACAAGAAUUUACCCCAAAACCAAAUUUUGACCUAAAGAAUUCCUUAGAUGGAUAAAUGUCAUUCAUUUUUAAAGUGAAGUUCUUUCAUUUUUGGAAAUAUUGGAAAAGUAAGGUAAUUUCAUCUUGCAACUCCUCUGACUCAGAGUUUUUGAAGAUGUAGUGAGGUCUAAGCUGACUUGAAAUCUAUCAAUGAAAACACUUCUAAUAUGUGUGUUGUCAUAUUUGUUGGUCUCUAAUAGAGUAAUCUCCCAAACACAGAGCUGGAAGAGAGAAUGUCACAGAAGAGUAUGUAAGAGUACCUUUAAUUAAUAUCACUAUGCUUUGAGGUAUGGCAUUUGCAACAGUGUAAAACUCGUUAGGAUGACAUACAAAUCCAUGUUUCAAGCAGAAGUCAUUGUUGUUGAAAACAUUAACAUGGCUGUCCAUCAUAUUGAGUAAAGAAAGGAUAUUAUACUUAAACCAGUUUUCAUAAAAUAAAGAUUUGUUACAGUGUACAAUAAAACAGUUAUUCCAAAUACAAGUCUUGUUGGGACUAAAGUUGUGAGAAAAAGCUAAUUUUCCAAUUUCCACAGAAGCACUAUCUGAUGAAAGGUGGAUAAUCUUAGAGGCAGCUUUGACAUCUCAAAAUCACAUUUUAGCAAAAACUCCAAACCACCCAGUUUUCCAAACACCGAAGAAGAGACUGCGAACCAGAAGCCAUUUUUAUUACGAAGAAAGGAUCUUAGCCAUUGAGUUUAUAAUGGACUCCGUUCAUUAUUUCUAAAUCAAUAACUUUUAAGCCCCCCUCUUCAUAGCUGCAUACCAAAACAUUUUUAUUCAUAUAGUGAUGCUUAUUUUUCCAAACAAAGUUAAAAAUAACAUUUUUACCAUCCUUUACUAAAUAAAGUGGGAUAGCUAGUGAGGAUGCUGGGUAAAUGAAUCUAGAAUGCAGUUCCACUUUGGUUAAAAGUAUUCUUCCAAAGAUUGAGAUAUCUCUUUUUAGCCAACUAAAGAGUAUAGUUUUUGCUUUUAGGAAUAUGUUCACAAAAUUCUCUUGAAUGCUAUGAUUAUUGACUUUAGUAAUAGUUACACCUAAAUAUUUUACAGAGGUUUUAACAGGGAUAUUAAAUAAAGAGUUGGAGUCGCAACCAUGAAUUGCAAUUAGUUCGCAUUUGUUUAUAUUUAGGUGUAGACCAGAUGCAUAGCUUUAUCAAUCUGGUGUUUGUCCUUUAAAGUGCAGUAUGUAAGAUUCAGACAGAUGCCAGGGGAGGGGAAGAGCAGGAGCCGAUUAUGUCAUGGAAGAGGACAGACUCCAGGUCAGUCAGCUGACUGCUGCCAGGACAGCAGAGAUGCAGAGAGAAUUGCAACAACUGUCCCAGGAAGAGAGGGAUGAAGUUCUGCAGAUGGUGGUCACACGUCUGCCAGGGGUUUUUCUGGACAUUAUGGAUUACCGGAGAACAACAACAGGAGCAUAUGUUCAAAACAGGGGACAACCUGCAUGGUGCACCUGCGUGAACUGCCGGCUUAUGCCGACAGAUUUAGAAAACAAAUGUUGUGGUCAAAAUCCAGAGAGGUGUCUCAGCAGGAAGGCCCAUAUGGAACUUUAUUGUCUUGAUGAGGGCAUCCUACGUUUGGCUAGACAGACAUGGAAUGACAUUCUUGCACUCACUGACAGACGGGACCCAAGGGUAGAUAACAGAGAGUAUCGAUACUCUGCAUAUCACCAGUUCACCAUCUGGCAACAUGGACGUCUGGUAACUGGGAACAGGGUGGUAAUACAGAGCUGCUGCAUGUGGCAAUUAAGAGAAAUUCCCUGACCCCUUUAGCAACCAUGUUGGCUACAAGGAAGCACCAUUUAGGUGAAAUUAAAAACUGUGUGUGGUGUUUCUGUGUAAAUUUUUCCAACAUAAAAAAAUAAAUAAUAAUAUUUGUUCUUCACUGUAUUUUAUUUUAUAUAAGUAAAA